rnacentral:rRNA from 1 species
UCAGGAUAAACGCUGGCGGCGCACAUAAGACAUGCAAGUCGAACGAACUUAACCCUUUGUUUACAUUGGGAGCGGUUAGUGGCGGACUGGUGAGUAACACGUAAGCAGCCUGCCUAUUAGAGGGGAAUAACAGUGAGAAAUCAUUGCUAAUACCGCAUAUGCUCACAGUAUCACAUGAUACAGUGAGGAAAGGAGCAAUCCGCUAAUAGAUGGGCUUGCGUCUGAUUAGCUAGUUGGUGUGGUAACGGCCUACCAAGGCGACGAUCAGUAGCCGGACUGAGAGGUUGAACGGCCACAUUGGGACUGAGAUACGGCCCAGACUCCUACGGGAGGCAGCAGUCGGGAAUAUUGCGCAAUGGAGGAAACUCUGACGCAGUGACGCCGCGUAUAGGAAGAAGGUUUGCGGAUUGUAAACUAUUGUCGUAGGGA